rnacentral:rRNA from 1 species
CCUACGGGAGGCUGCAGUGGGGAAUAUUGCACAAUGGGCGCAAGCCUGAUGCAGCCAUGCCGCGUGUGUGAAGAAGGCCUUCGGGUUGUAAAGCACUUUCAGCAGGGAGGAAGGCGGUGAGGUUAAUAACCUCAUCGAUUGACGUUACCCGCAGAAGAAGCACCGGCUAACUCCGUGCCAGCAGCCGCGGUAAUACGGAGGGUGCAAGCGUUAAUCGGAAUUACUGGGCGUAAAGCGCACGCAGGCGGUCUGUCAAGUCGGAUGUGAAAUCCCCGGGCUCAACCUGGGAACUGCAUUCGAAACUGGCAGGCUAGAGUCUUGUAGAGGGGGGUAGAAUUCCAGGUGUAGCGGUGAAAUGCGUAGAGAUCUGGAGGAAUACCGGUGGCGAAGGCGGCCCCCUGGACAAAGACUGACGCUCAGGUGCGAAAGCGUGGGGAGCAAACAGGAUUAGAUACCCCAGUAGUC